UGCGUAGGUGGUUAGGUAAGACCUGUGGGAAAGACCUGGGCUUAACCCAGGAAGGUCGCAGGUGACUGCCUGGCUAGAGGGCGGGAGAGGAGCGCGGAAUUCCCGGUGUAGCGGUGAAAUGCGUAGAGAUCGGGAGGAAGGCCGGUGGCGAAGGCGGCGCUCUGGAACGUUCCUGACACUGAGGCACGAAAGCGUGGGGAGCAAACAGGAUUAGGAUACCCUGGUAGUCCACGCCCUAAACGAUGGGUACUAAGUGUCGGCGGGUUACCGCCGGUGCCGCACCUAACGGAGUAAGUACCCCGCCUGGGGAGUACGGCCGCAAGGUUGAA
rnacentral:rRNA from 1 species